rfam:Haemonchus contortus, ISE/inbred ISE, WGS project CAVP01000000 data, contig: Hcontortus_44750
GGCUCAAAUUCGAAGUAGAUUAGAUUAGAAGGAUCAUCUGACUCUACUGAACUGGUCUACUUCGAGUUUGUGCCC